GGCUCAUUGAUUGUUGCUAAUCAGAUUUAGUCAUAUACGCUAUUCUGAUUUUUAUUGGUGAAAAAGAAUUUAUGAGAGCU
rfam:Oryza brachyantha chromosome 11, whole genome shotgun sequence.